rnacentral:lncRNA from 1 species
GGCAAGUCUGGACUCUCAACUCUGGUUUUCUGGUCUGAACACUUCCCUCUUCCCUCUCAGCCCAGCCCUCUUCCCUCUCCCAGGUACUGUCAGUUUGCUCCCAGAUGUGCGUUCUUGGCUCCCACAGGCUGGGCCAGUCUCCCGUCCACAGGAAGCCUCCGCCUUCUGUGUCCCCGGCCAAUGGUGCGCAGAAGCCAGCUGGUGCGAACUUGGCCCAGCUGAUGGUGUUCAUCUCUUCCCGGUUCUGUGGUCGGUGACUUCAUGCUGGUGGCCUGAAAUCAGCCACGGCGAGAGUACUUCACCCCGGAAAAGGGCAAACACUACAAAACAGAGAUGUAUUCCCCCAACCCUGCAGACAGCCUGUUCUUACACAACAGCGCAGUGCUGCCCAGUUCAGAAGCACAGGGAGGCACCCCCACACGGCCUGCCCCGGGCUCUCCCCCAGCCCUGAGCAUAGGGGAAGCGUCAGUGCUUUGUUGCACAAGGACACACAUCCAUAUAUGCGUUGCCCAAAUGAGCCUUGGAGGAUGCAGUGGUGCUCCCGAGAGGACCGCAGGAAACGUUAGAAGAUCUAGGUUGUCUUUGACUUGGCCUCUUUCCACCUUGAGAUCUUGGGCAAUGCUUCUGUUUCUGUGUCUGUAGAGUGAACAACAAUAUUACCCACUUCUCAGAUUGCGGUGAGGAUUAAAGAAGGAUCUCAAAGGCUCAGCACGGUGAUGGCAUCACAGGGUCCUCACGGAAUGUCUAAAAGCACUCAGUAAAAAGCAAUCAUGUUAUACCUGUAAGAGAAUUAUUAUCCCCAUGCGAGAGUUUGGCCUUGUCCCUUUGCUGCCAUCCUCCAGGCGGGACUUGGAGAAAGAUGUUUAAAUUCUGAACUCCCAGGCCAAGCUUUGCGAGUCCCUUCUCCCCAAGGCCUCUGUCUCGGGAGUGCCCUUCCUCUGGGUUUGGGGGCCUCACUAGCUGGGCAUGAGGGGCUGCGCAGGUGGCGGCUUGCCUCACCUGUGGCGCACCACUUUCUUGUUGCAAUCAGCCCGUCCUCAGGACAGGUGCCACCAUCCUUCAUCGCCAGUGCUGUGAGGCAGGCAGGGGCUUCCUGCCCCCAGCCCGGCAGGCAGAGAAUCCUGGAGGGGGUGUGCUCUGCCUGGUCUGGGGCAGAGUGGGGGGCGGUCUCUUUAAUCCCCUCCCUCCUCUCUCCUGCCGGGACAGGCCCCGCGAGGUGUACUUGCAGGUGGGAGGGACACGGGCCACCUCUGAACGAGGCUGCUGCAUCCUUGCCCUCGCUCACUUUGGGGGCACUUGGAGCCUUCCAGCUCCGGUGCAGCGAGCAUGGUCGGGGCUGACCUGUGUUCCCUACAAGGAGCUGUGCAAGCCAUCGGCACACGGACGGACGCGUCGCAUCUUAAUAGUUAUGCUUAUUUGAGUAUGAAUUAGAAAAAUUAGAACUAGCACACAAAAGCCAUGAUUUCAGGGAUGUUAUUGCUGAGGGUCAGGAUAAGAAAAAAGUGAAUGGAUUUAGAUUUGAUUUAAAGAAAAAUUUUAAGUACAUAACAGUACCUCUGGAAUGAUGAUACGGCACGGUGGCGGAGGUUAAAUGCGAGUGACGGGUGUUUGGGGUAUUUGGAAUAUUGUGGGUUAGAAUUUGGCAGGUAUUUCUCAGCUGCAAGGGCAGAAUGGAGGGAUGGUCCCUGGCGCCUAGAUCGGGGAUGUCAUCGGUGUCCGAGGUGGGGAGGGGAGGCUGAGCCAGGCAGACUCGGGACAUUGGAGCCCUUUCUGUCUGGUUCCCCUCAAACAACACGACGGCACCAACCCCUUCAUUGCCCCAUGAAGGCCGGGAAGACCUGAAUGAGUGUGGGAGCCCAGCCUCACCUUCACCCCCGGAGGUGACUUUCAUUUUUCCUGAUGCCAGGAUUAAGAUCGCUUGCUGCUGCUGCUUCGGGAAGACCCCACGGCCCCCGCAGCACCUUGUGCACAUUUACAGCGACACCUCUGACACCGGACUACAUCUACUGGUUUCCCCAUAGAUUUUCCGCCCCUCCUCCCCACCUCCAUCAGGCUGCAAAUUCCUCGAAGAUAAAGGGAGUACCAGUCAGCUAACACCUUAGGAACUGCUAGCUCCCCACUAAGCAGGUAAGGGGUUUUAAAGGUUUGUGAGGAUGUGGCUGCCUGUAGGGAGGGGGGACUCUGUGACCUUGUGGUCAGCACUUUCCCAUCCACCGGGUGUUUGGCUUGUGAGGCUGUUUGCAGAGAGGAGGGUGGUGAGAUAAGGAAAUCUGCAGGCAGAUGUCCUUGGCUGUCUGUCUCCAUGGUGCAUGGCGGAUUCUGGCGCCAGGAAUCCGAGGAGUUGGGCCUGGGGAGCUUCAGUUUCUUGAUGUUCUCUGGACAUCAGUUUCCCUGUAACAAACUUCAAGGACCUGUCAUGAGCCACAACUUUAGUGGGAACCCCGUGUGAGGCCACCUGACUCGAACAGUUUGUAACUUCUGUUUGGUUGUAAAGCUCAGGGGGUCAAAGGUUAGACAGACAGAUAUUUACAUAUGACUGUAACUAAGGAAGCAGGGAACAGGAUGAGCGUUUUUUGGUUUUAACCCCAUAUAUGCUGGGUUCAAUGUAGGGGAACCGAUAUCAGGGCUGUAUUAAUUAAAAGCCUGUGACAAGGCUGGGCCUUGUUCUUUGCUAAAUUCCUGUCUCUCAGCACAGGCUCUGACACAUAGUAGGGGCUCCAUCGUAUAUUGUUGAGUAAAUGAAUAAAUGUGAAUAAAUGGCUUUUGGGUCAAAAAAUCAACUGCACAAGCAGAACAGGUUUGUGAGCAAUUCCAGAGAAAGAGAUUGAGAAACAGCA